rnacentral:lncRNA from 1 species
ACAUUCCAAUUAAGUCUCAAUGAUACAAAGGAUGACACUCAAAAAUUAAGUAAAACCAGUGGAAAACUAUUUUAAUAAUAGAACCAGGCAUAAAUGACAGCAUAAAGAAAACUGGAGAAAUAUUUUAAACCAUGAUUUCAAUAUAAUCAGAAGAAUUAAAGAAAAAUUUUUUACUUAAGACCAAUGUCAUUUGAGAAUGGAAUGGCUAUUUAAUAUGAUUUUCAUUGGGAUAUGCAUAUUCUACUUUGCUAUACUGGAAAUUUCUUAAUAUAACUAAUAUGAUUAUGAAUAUAAAAAUCAAUGUAAAAUUAUGAUGAUAUAUGCCAAUCUUCUGUGCCCACCUCUAGAUCUAAGGUCUUUUUAAGUUACAAUGAACUGGAGACCAAGGGAAAAACUAUACCAAACAGAAAUCAUGGUAACAAGGCAGUAAUUGCAGAGCUAAUGCUAUCCAUGGCGUGAAAUCAUGGUACCAAGGCAGUACUUGCAGAGCUAAUACUAUCCAUGGUAUGAGCUUCAGAAGCACUAAAAUUCCUAGAAAUGCACCUCCUCAUGGGAAGCUUUUAUGACUGCAUUAAUUCCAUGAACUCUUUUGUCUAAAACUGUACCUAUGAUCCACUGAUUGUAGUAUUGUAGUCCUUAAUGUAGAAGAAAAAUAGUUGUAUUAGGUAUUAAUCAACAAAGUCAAAAUAAAAUAAGCCAAAUUCAGAAACCAAACUACUCAAGUGACACCUACCUUCUGGAAAUGCCAUUAGCCAGACAUUUGUGGCUACAGGAUUUGGAAGAGAGGGGUGAUGAAGUUGGAGACAAGUUGAGAGGGGCAAUCAAACUGUUAAUGAUCUCAGUCAACUGUGCACUCUACAAAGAAACAGUUAACACUUUAGUGUAGCUAAGCAUCAUGAAGAUCCUGAAUUCUGUCCUGAGAAUUCUUAUAUUGUAUUUAUUGAUUUACACAUACUGAAGAAUUCUUACAUCACUAAAAUGACGCCUAUUUAGUCACAGUGUUUUUUAAAAAUGUGUUCCCAUUGGCCUACUAUCAAGACCUCACCUUAUGACCAAAUUACACAUCUAUGGGUUAAUCUCUCAGGAUCUAAAUGACCCAAUCACCCCUCAAGAGCUGGGAUUAUGACCUAGGGACUAAUGCUGAAUACAUGUGACUUUUGGAGAAACAUUUGAUAUCUAAAUCUUGCCAAGCAGUUUAAGAAGCAAAAAUGUAUCUAAAGUUAUUUCGUAAAGCAAGAACUCUACAUACCUGUUUCUCUAUGUUUCGAAGAAGUAGUGUAGGGCUGCUUGGUGACAUCUCAAAAUCGUGUUCUGGUAAAGGCUCUUCACUCCUCUGGGGAACCUGAGAAUUCACUGAAGUGUUUAAUGAAACUGCUUGGUUUGAAAACUGUAUUUGUUUUUUCAAAAUGUCUUUUGGAAGCUGACAUUCUUCUAAGAUCACUAUCCCCUAGGGGGUAAAAAACAGUAAAGUGAUCACAUCCUACUAUCCUCAUAGGAAACAUAAGAUGAAGAAUUGAAAAUAUAGUUUAUAUGUCUAAAACAGCUGGCUGAUUAGGCUGGGAGAGAUGGCUCAGCAAUAAAAGUAUGUACUAUUUAUUCUUUCAGAGGAACUAGUUUGCUCCCAGCACCUGUCGGUCAGUCUCCAGCCAUGGGCAGUCUCCAACUCCACACCUCCAGCUCCAGGGCAUCCAACCGACUGUUAUGGCCUCUGUGUGUGGUAUGCACACGCACACACACACAUGGAGAAAUUUCAAAACAGUAUAUUUUAUGCCCUGUGUGAUUAUACCUCUAAGGAAAGAUAGUAGACUAGAAACUGCCUCUAUGUGUCUAUGCCAUAGUUACAGAAAAGUGCCAAGAUUUUAAAAAAAUAAAUGUAAGUAAGUAAAUAAAUAAAAGGCCUUAAUCC